rnacentral:rRNA from 1 species
GGCGAACGGGUGAGUAUCGCGUUGGUGACCUGCCCCAGAGAGGGGGACAACCAGUGGAAACGCUGGCUAAUACCCCGGAUGUUAUUGUCUUUAGAAAGCAAUGACUAAAGCUCCGGCGCUCUGGGAGGGGCCUGCGUCCCAUCAGCUUGUUGGUAAGGUAAUGGCUUACCAAGGCUAAGACGGGUAGGGGGCGUGAGAGCGUGACCCCCCACACUGGUACUGAAACACGGACCAGAUACCUACGGGUAGCAGCAGCAAGGAAUAUUGCCCAAUGGACGAAAGUCUGAGGCAGCAACACCGCGUGGAGGAUGAAGGCCUUCGGGUUGUAAACUCCUUUUCUGGGGGAAGAGAUAGGACGGUACCCCAGGAAUAAGGCCCGGCUAACUACGUGCCAGCAGCCGCGGUAAAACGUAGGGGUCGAGCGUUAUCCGGAUUUACUGGGCGUAAAGCGCAUGUAGGCGGUUACUUAAGUCGGACGUGAAAGCUCCUGGCUCAACUGGGAGAGGUCGUUCGAAACUA